AGAGACGGGGUUUCACUGUGUUAGGAUGGUCUCGAUCUCCUGACCUUGUGAUCCGCCCGCCUUAGCCUCCCAAAGUGCUGGGAUUACAGGCAUGAGCCACUGCACCUGGCCAGAAUGCAGUUUUUCAAACAGCAUCCUUAACUUGAAAAUAAACAACUUAACAAUUCAGAAAUCUGGUAGAAAACCUAUAGGACACCACUUCUGUGUCUCAAAGGACAAAAACAUGAAGAAGUAGGCUGAAAUAAAAGGUGCUCAAUGAUUAAAAUAUGGUCCAGCCCCAUGACUAAAUGCUAUUCAAUGAAAACAGUUAACACUUCAUGUGUUUAACAUGUAUGAACUCAAUCUUUUCAAAAUACUAAAUUCCAUUAUCUCCAUUUCACAGAUGAAGAAACUUGAGGUACAGAGAAGCCUAUUGGCUGAGCUAUGAGUUGAAGCCAGGUACUCCCACCUCCAGAGUCCGCGCAGCCAGCUGCCAUGCUCGUCUGCUAUUUUCCUGAGGAGCCAUCCACUGACAAAUGAAUAUGGACCACUGCUGAUGAUGACUAUCUCAGUGGGAUUCAACAAAAUCGAUUCCAGAGGCCGACACUGACUCCUGACAGGGUGUCCUUUCAUCAGAUCUCAUUGAAAGCACUGAGAAGAAAGAAAGAUCACAGGGGACUCCGGAGCCUGCCACUGUCAACAGUGAUGCCCGUUGGGCCGACACUGGGUUGGAAUGACUUGAUAACCUGGUUAGAAGCAGGGAAACCAGAAGCUGGAGCCGUCACUGUAGAGCUCUGUUUCAAUUGACAAACAAUCAACACUCCAAAAGGCUGAAUCUCAAUAUUUAAAAAGUGAUGUUGCCACUUCUGGAAUCUUCACAGAAAAACCAAGUGACGUGCAGCCCACACAGUGGACUACUACUUAGCAAGAAAAAGGGCUGUGGACACAUGCACACGCAAUGGUGCUCACGGGCAGGAGCACCAGUGACAAACAGCACAUCUCAAAAGUUUACAAACUGCAUCCCAUUGAUACACCACUCUUGAAAUGACAAAACUACAGAGAUACAGAACACACUAGUGACUGCAGGGGACAGGGCUGGAAGGGAGGGGAGGCAACUACAAAGGGGUGGCACAAGGGGAUUCCUCUGUGGUAGCGAUGCGUAGGGUGGCCGCCGCAUGAGUCUACAUGUGGGGUCGGAUUCCACAGACUGUACACCGAACUGCUGAAAACAAGGAAGCCUGUGGUUUGGACUGCUGUGUCCUUCCAAUGCCACCUUCCUGUCUCAUAGUUAAGUAAGAUGUCACCACUGGGGGAAGCAGAGGGAAGGGUUCAUGGGACUCUACUAUUUUUGCAACUUCCUGUGAGUCUCAAAAAAUUUACAUAAUAAUGUAGAAACUUUACCUUUCUAUGCUUUUGAAGGGAAUAUGGAGAAGAAAAUAAACCCUACUACCACGAAGCCUUUUGAAACUCUCCCUGCACCUGUGCACCUGCAGUGCUCCCCCAACGGGUCAGAGGGGGCAGUGCGGACCGUGGGACCACGCGGUGCCCACUGGCUUUCUAGCGCCCACUCUGCUAUCACAGGUCCCUGCGGGAGAACUCCUAGCAUGGUGUGGCCAUGAGGGAAGCCUAGGCAAGGGAGGGUCAGUCUGGGGUAUGACUGUGAAGCUCAACAUCUGGGACCACAGGGAUAAGAGAUGACCGGGGAGCACUGAGAAUUCAUCUUCUGGUCCGCCCCUCUUGAUCCAUAACGCUGCUCCCCACGCUCCUGGCACGCAUGCAAGGCGGAGACAGCCUUUCCGUGUCUCUCUCCCGACCGCGGGGGCCACAGCGCCCCUUCUCCCUCCUUGUUUUGCUUCUGGUUGAUGUAUCGUCGGUACUCACUCCUCCUCAGAUGCCCUAUCCUGAAGCCAUCCAGCCUCCGCCUUUCCUCGGGUGUCUGGGAUGAAUCAGCUUCCCUUAUUCAGAAUUCAUCAAAUGGAAAGGAAGAGCAGAGUUUCACUUUCUUCAGCAGAAAGAGCAGAGUUUCACUUUCUUCAGCAGAGCCCUCUCAAGACUGCUCCCGAACUGAGAUGAGGUGACCAGGCUUUCUACGAGAGCAACAGAUCCUGGCUCUGUCAGCAAGACCUGUGUUCAUGUGGCCCGCCCUGUGCUGCCCGUGAUCAUCUCCUCACCGGAAUCACUAGCAGAAAUGUUUGCCGGGCUUGGACAUUUCCAUGAAGAAGAUGAUUAACUCUGAGCGGAGCCAAGAACCCCCCAGAUAGGACUCAGCCCUCCCCAAGACCCUGGAGCCUUGGUGUGAUCCAACUCCAUCCCCACCUGGCAGUCAGCCUGUCGGAGGGCCAGUGAGGAAUCUGACAGCAGGGCUCUAACCACUGGCUAUGGUGGAGAAGGCCUCAGGAAACAGUUUUCACUCAGGGCGGAGAAUGACUGCCUCCCAUGAAAGCAUUUCCAGUGAGUGGAGGUGGGUUUAGGUGCCAUCUGUGCCGAAGCGGUACCAUCUCCCAGGUCUAGAAAGGAAAAAGAGAAGAUGAAGGCCUUGCCCACAUCCAAUCCAAAGGGGAGAGACAUCCUGGCGAGCUCUGCACAUAAGAGAACGAGAGAUUAGCUGUCCCCGCAUCAGAGCGCCAUUAAGGCCGUCCCCUCUGAGCACUGGCUGGAGCCUGCAUCACAAUCACCAGUGUUUGCACUGGAAGCCAUGGGCAACGCGACAGACCGUGAGGAAAGCCUGCAGAUGGCUCCAUUAAUAAAGCUGCCGUUCACCACGCCAAAGCUGAAGUGGUUUCCAUGGGAAACUCUCACAUUAAAAUAGAAGGAAGUUUUUUAAUCAAAUUUUAGUAGUUAAUUACAUUUUUUUAUUAAACAUUAUCAAGUUUAAACACAAAGAUUUGCCAGGGAGGGCACUCAGGAAAGCACAGACGCGGCCGUUGGCACCGCCAGGAGCUGAGGGGUUUCUCGGGCACGGGACCCCCCAACGGCUCUUGCUCCUCCAUGUCCUGAUUCAACGCUAGGGUCCGUUCCACACCACUCACUCGAAGCGUGAGGGACACAACCCAGUGGUGAAGCCAGAGGACUGCGGGGCAGCCUCCAAGGCCACAGGCCUCUCCAGAGCCGGCGCAGUGGCUUCAGCUCCAGGCGUGUGAGCGACACUGGCCGUCAUCCUCGUCCUUGAAACUCCCUCCCCUCCUGCCACCAUUCCUCCGGGUUUCUUUCUUCCCUCCUGCCCUUUCUCCCUCCUUUUAUC